rnacentral:misc_RNA from 1 species
UCAAAAAAAGAAGAGGUGGUUGGUUAGGUUUUUGGUUAAGAAGGCACAUGGAAAACGCACGUGUAAAUAUACAGCCGAACAUAUAUAAUGCGAAGUAUUCUCUAACAACCGAAGAGAAGCAUAGAAUAAUGCAGGGUUUGACCCAAACAGCAAAAAGUUCGAGGCAAGUUCUGACUCUAGGUCAGACAGUUCAGAUAGUGAAUGAUCCAGCCGAAUACUGAAGAAAAACAUAAAAUCAUGCAGGGUUGGAUGAUGCAGACUGCCAAAACGUUCGAGGCAAGUUCUGACUCUAGAUCAGACAGUGAAUGGUAAUUGGUAUUACAGUAAUGGUAUACAGUAAUGAUACAGCCCAAUAUCUAUGUAAGUAGGUAUUCGGUUACAACCGAAGAAAAACACAGGAUAAUGCAUGGUUGGAGGCAGACUGCCAAAACCUUCGAGGCAAGUUCUGACAGUUCAGACAGAAAUAAAAACAAUGCCAGGUGGGUUAGUUUUCGGAAACAGCAUAAGCAGGAAGAACACAUAAGCACAAAACUGUGCACUUUUCACCUGUGCUCGGUGGUGUGAACAUCGUUUCGCAUACUACAAUUAUGAGGUUUUUCCUACUAACGUACCUAUCCCCAAUGGGUUUCGUCUGGAAAUAAAAGACAAUCCCAGUUGGGUUAGUUUUCGGAAACAGCAUAAGCAGGAAGAACACUGUACAGUUUUGACCUGUGCUCGUUGGUGUGAAGAUUGUAGUAAAGACUACAAUUACGAGAUUUUUCCUACUAAUGCACCUACCACCAAUGAUUUCGUCUGGAAAUAAAAGACAAUCCCAGUUGGGUUAGUUUUCGGAAACAGCAUAAGCAGGAAGAACACUGUACAGUUUUGACCUGUGCUCGUUGGUGUGAAGAUUGUAGUAAAGACUACAAUUACGAGAUUUUUCCUACUAAUGCACCUACCAUCAAUUGAUUUCGUCUGGAAAUAAAGAACAAUGCCAGUUGGGUUAGUUUCCGAAACAGCGUAAAAGAAAAGCACUACACUUUUGACCUGUGCUCAGUGGUGUGAACAUCGUUGCGCAUACUACAAUUACUAGGCUUUUCCUACUGAAGUACCCACCCCCAAUUGUUUUCGUCUGGGUAAGUUGAGCAUUAGCUUAAUUUAUUAAAUACAUUUUUUUUUAUUUUUUAUAGGCUUAUUUUGAUAAUUUUUUAUUUUUCUAUUUUUAUAUUAUUGUUUAUGAUAAAUUUUUGCAAACUACCAAUGAACACAGCAAUUGUAGUAUUAUUUGGUAUAUAUAUACAACAACAUUUAAGAAAUCAGUUGAGAUUUUGAGCAUUACUUAAUAACUUAAGAUACUGAUUUAAUUAAAUUUUGUUUAAUUUUAAUAUUGGUUUGUUUCUUUUUAAUAGAACCCAUGCUUUGUAAAGGUUAAUGUUAUAC